UGACACACAAUUUAAUGGGCAGGGACUGCAGUCAGGCCUUGACAUAUAACUCUGAUAAUGUUCCUGUAAAUGGCUGGCCUCUGCGGUGUAUUUCAUUCUGGAGAAUUAGUCCUGUUUAACAGCUGCUGUUAUAAAGCAUCAGUCCCGCCCAGGUCUGAGUGCAGCAAACUAUGGCUACUUGAUUGACGAUUCGUUGAAUUGUGUUACAGAGAAGUGAUCCUGAAGACUCCCAAGCCUAAAUCAUUCCAAGGUGAUGAGCCGCAAAUCAAAAGGAGUAGCAUGGGAGUGUAUUGAUGAUGUGGGUCUGUCUGCCUUAAAGAAGCUGUUCAACCUACAAGAAUUUAAUUAUUCUGGGAGUCAAUGGAAAAUAAAGAGGUUUAGUGAUGCUGUUGCAGAGGAUAAGAACUGAAAUCUGUUGUAAGCACUCACAAAUCAUUGUAUCCUGGCUUGAAAAUGGCCGAAUUAAAGGUACUAAAAAUUGCCAUAAUGAUCAUCAGUGACCUCAUUGCAUCAGAAGAGGCCUUUAAAAUCCCUUAUCAGCUGAACCCUACAGAUAAUAUCAGUUGUAUUUUCUUGCUGUUAUUACUGAGGGUGAUGCGUGUCUCACCUGCGCCUAUGUUAGGGAAAAGAUAGAAGAGUUCCACUUAAAACUGAUCAUGACUCAGUGCAGUCCUGCUAGAAGUUAAUACCAGAAACCGGGAUAUUUGUGCUUAAUCCCUGUCAAGAGAAGAAGAAA